rnacentral:lncRNA from 13 species
GGAGAACCAAGUUUUGAAAUCAGUGGACUGCCAGUGGAAGCAGAAUGUGAUAGCCAAGGAGAUGGAGAAAGUCCAGGCGUUUGAUUGCAAAUAUGCGGAGGGAGUUGAAAAGAGAACGCACAGAAAGCUGUUGCAUAAAAUACCUGUCUCUGGAUUAUAUCUUCAAACGAAGGGCAACCAUUGCAUCUGUGACAGAGAGGGAGAAGCGUAUUUCCAUGUAUGUUUCUAACUUUGCAAAUGAAUGCGUACUGUUACCUAGCUAGCUAAUGUUACCUGGCUGGCUGGUUUGCUUGCUAAUGCUACAUGUAUGAUCUGUGUAGUAAUAUUAUCCAUAUCUCAGAGUAAUUUGCAUUGCUAGUUAUAGACUAAUGUUAACUAGCUAACAUUGAACCUAGUUGGUUAGCUUUAACUACUUGUAGAUUCAUGCAGGGUAGUAAUGUUAUGAGAUGGGAUUAUGGUUCAUUAUUUAGCUAGCUAGCUACAUGUCUAAACAAAAGACUCCACUAUGCAUGUAACCAUUUCACUGUACAGUUUACACCUUCUGUAUCCUGUGCAUGUGACAAAUUAACUUUUAUUUCAUUUGAUAUAGUGUGUGUUUAUGUUACGGUGAGUGAAUGAGGACCCAAAAGCGAACUAACUUAAACAGAGCUUCUUUAAUAACCAAACUGUGGUAGGCUCAGAUAGACCGGCAGAUUCCGACAGGACAGGACAAGGUUACAGCAAACAUGACGAUAGUCUGGCUCAGGCAUGAAACACAACAAACAAGAAUCCGACAAGGACAGGAACAAAAACAGAGAGAGAUAUAGGGGACUAAUCAGAGGGAAAAGGGGAACAGGUGGGAGAAGGGGUGACGAGGUAGUCAAGAGGAGACAAGGAACAGCUGGGGGAAAGCGGGGGAGAAAAGGGGAACAGGUGGGAGAAGGGGUGACGAGGUAGUCAAGAGGAGACAAGGAACAGCUGGGGGAAAGCGGGGGAGAAAAGGUAACCUAAGACGACCAGCAGAGGGAGACAGGGUGAAAGGAAAGGACAGAAAGACACAACAUGACAAUACAUGACAGUUUACCAGAGACGGUAAUGUGAAUAACAACAUGACCUGCACCAAAGUCAAAUUAGAAUAUAACGUUAGGCCAACGAGACGGUGUCCAUGUUCUAAAAUUCACCGGUAGAAUGUCAAGCUUUUA